CUCGGCUGUGCCCUAGCAGCACGUCAAAACUGGAGUCACAAAGUUCAAUCCUCCAGUAUUGCCUUGCUGCUUGAGUGAGGCAGGA
rfam:Monodelphis domestica chromosome X, whole genome shotgun sequence.